AAAGCACGUUGCUCUACCGAUUGAUGGCUCAGUGAGGCCUUCGGACUGGCUCAGGAGGGUUGGCAACGACCCCCCAGAGCCGGAAAGUUGGUCAAACUCGGUCAUUUAGAGGAAGUAAAAGUCGUAACAAGGUUUCCGUAGGUGAACCUGCGGAAGGAUCAUUACCGAGUGAGGGCCCUCUGGGUCCAACCUCCCACCCGUGUUUAACGAACCUUGUUGCUUCGGCGGGCCCGCCUCACGGCCGCCGGGGGGCAUCCGCCCCCGGGCCCGCGCCCGCCGAAGACACCUGUGAACACUGUCUGAAGUUGCAGUCUGAGAAACUAGCUAAAUUAGUUAAAACUUUCAACAACGGAUCUCUUGGUUCCGGCAUCGAUGAAGAACGCAGCGAAAUGCGAUAAAUAAUGUGAAUUGCAGAAUUCAGUGAAUCAUCGAGUCUUUGAACGCACAUUGCGCCCUCUGGUAUUCCGGAGGGCAUGCCUGUCCGAGCGUCAUUGCUGCCCUCAAGCACGGCUUGUGUGUUGGGCCCCCGUCCCCCCCACCGGGGGGACGGGCCCGAAAGGCAGCGGCGGCACCGCGUCCGGUCCUCGAGCGUAUGGGGCUCUGUCACCCGCUCUUGUAGGCCCGGCCGGCGCCAGCCGACCCCCCUCAAUCUAUUUUUUCAGGUUGACCUCGGAUCAGGUAGGGAUACCCGCUGAACUUAAGCAUAUCAAUAAGCGGAGGAAAAGAAACCAACCGGGAUUGCCCUAGUAACGGCGAGUGAAGCGGCAAGAGCUCAAAUUUGAAAGCUGGCCCCCUCGGGGUCCGCAUUGUAAUUUGCAGAGGAUGCUUCGGGAGCGGUCCCCAUCUAAGUGCCCUGGAACGGGCCGUCAUAGAGGUGAGAAUCCCGUAUGGGAUGGGGUGCCCGCGCCCGUGUGAGCUCCUUCGACGAGUCGAGUUGUUGGGGAUUGCAU
rnacentral:rRNA from 1 species